rnacentral:rRNA from 1 species
AGGGUUUGAUCAUGGCUCAGAACGUACGCUGGCGGCACGCCUAACACAUGCAAGUCGAACGCAGUAGCAAUACUGAGUGGCAAACGGGUGAGUAUAAUGUGGGAAUCUGCCUUUUGGUUUGGAAUAACACGGGGAAACUUGUGCUAAUACCGAAUAAGCCCUUACGGGGAAAGUUUUAAUGCCGAAAGAUGAGCCCGCACUUGAUUAGCUAGUUGGUAAGGUAAAAGCUUACCAAGGCAACGAUCAAUAGCUGUUCUUAGAGGAAGACCAGCCACAUUGGGACUGAGACACGGCCCAGACUCCUACGGGAGGCAGCAGUGGGGAAUCUUGCACAAUGGGGGAAACCCUGAUGCAGCGAUGCCGCGUGAGUGAAGAAGGCCUUUGGGUUGUAAAACUCUUUCGUCGGGGAAGAAAAUGACUGUACCCGAAUAAGAAGGUCCGGCUAACUUCGUGCCAGCAGCCGCGGUAAUACGAAGGGACCUAGCGUAGUUCGGAAUUACUGGGCUUAAAGAGCUCGUAGGUGGUUAAAAAAGUUGAUGGUGAAAUCCCAAGGCUUAACCUUGGAACUGCCAUCAAAACUUUUUAGCUAGAGUGUGAUAGAGGUAAGUGGAAUUUCUAGUGUAGAGGUGAAAUUCGUAGAUAUUAGAAAGAACACCAAAUGCGAAGGCAACUUACUGGGUCACUACUGACACUGAGGAGCGAAAGC